rfam:Erinaceus europaeus unplaced genomic scaffold scaffold01312, whole genome shotgun sequence
AGAUCCAAGGUGACCCUUGGGUAAGCAAGCUUCCCUAACCCCAGUGCCCCAUCUUCCCCUGGUUGCCCCAGUACCCCGCUUCCCCAGUUUCCCCGGGGCCCUCCCAGCCCACN